rnacentral:tRNA from 1 species
GCCCGUGAAUCUCAGUGGUUAGAGCACUGGCCCGGGCACCAAAAGGUUGUGGGUUCGAUUCCCAGUCAAGGGCA